rnacentral:rRNA from 1 species
UACGUAGGGGGCAAGCGUUGUCCGGAUUUAUUGGGCGUAAAGAGCUCGUAGGCGGUUUGUCGCGUCGGUUGUGAAAACCCAAGGCUCAACCUUGGGCCUGCAAUCGAUACGGGCAGACUAGAGUACUGCAGGGGAGACUGGAAUUCCUGGUGUAGCGGUGGAAUGCGCAGAUAUCAGGAGGAACACCGGUGGCGAAGGCGGGUCUCUGGGCAGUAACUGACGCUGAGGAGCGAAAGCGUGGGGAGCGAACAGG